CAUACGCCAUCCUGACCACGAAAGAAGAGGAUAUUUGCCGCCGUUGAAUGGAAGGACAUAUAUUAACGAGACGAUGCACCUGAUAUGUAAGCCUGGGUAAGAGCCACGUGACCCUAGUCUAGUCAAAGUUAGGUGUGGCGCUGACGGCAAAUACACAGGAACUCUGACUCGCUGCAUUGGGACCAAGUGUCCGCCUCUUCGCCCAUUCGACGCUAACGGUUACUUCAAAGAGUCUCAUUGCUCUAGUACUGGCGGCCGCUAUGAUGAAUGGCCAGUGGGGUACUGUACCCGAGCUUGCAGGGGUGGUUACCGACUCGAAGGGGCUCAGUACACAAGAUGCCAAAGUAGCGGUAAAUGGCUGAAUUCGCAAAGUGGCCUAACAAAGUGCUUGCGCAAAUAAAUUAUGUGUACCAUCCAAAAGCAUGGUUUAUUUUGUCGAAUAAAGGCACUUCAGAAA